UACAGAGGUCCCAAGCGUUGUUCGGAUUCAUUGGGCGUAAAGGGUGCGUAGGCGGCGCGGUAAGUCGGGUGUGAAAUCUCGGGGCUUAACUCCGAAACUGCAUUCGAUACUGCCGUGCUUGAGGACUGGAGAGGAGACUGGAAUUUACGGCGUAGCGGUGAAAUGCGCAGAUAUCAGGAGGAACACCGGUGGCGAAGGCGGGUCUCUGGGCCGAUACUGACGCUGAGGAGCGAAAGCGUGGGGAGCGAACAGG
rnacentral:rRNA from 1 species